GAAACAGCUAAGUACGUCCUGAAUGGCACUGUAGAAAGCCCUCAACCAAGCACUGCUGAUUCUGUAAUUAGUGGAACCGUGGGUGACAAGUCUCAGCUGGAGUUUAGAGUUGCAGAAGGGGAUGUACUCCCAAAGAAGGAUGGAGGUGAUGACAAAGCUUGUAUGGUUGACAAUGAUAUAGAUUUUGCUAAUAAAGAAUUUAUAUCUGGAAGGCAAGUGUCUGAAGCUUUUGAUAAUUCCACUGAUGAUAACAAACAACUGGUAGAAAAGGGUGUACCAAAUGCUGUUUUGCCACUUCUAAGAUAUCAUCAGUGCGAAAGUUCUGAAUCUUCCUCUAGCUUCCAGGAUUCUCCUAGUGAAGAUAGACAUUUUCGAAGUGAUUUUGAUGAAACCGAAACUGAGGAAGCAUCUUUUUCUGGUCAAGAUGAUUCAAGCCAG
rnacentral:misc_RNA from 1 species